rnacentral:rRNA from 1 species
GACGAACGCUGGCGGCGUGCUUAACACAUGCAAGUCGAACGGAAAGGCCCUGCUUUUGUGGGGUGCUCGAGUGGCGAACGGGUGAGUAACACGUGAGUAACCUGCCCUUGACUUUGGGAUAACUUCAGGAAACUGGGGCUAAUACCGGAUAGGAGCUCCUGCUGCAUGGUGGGGGUUGGAAAGUUUCGGCGGUUGGGGAUGGACUCGCGGCUUAUCAGCUUGUUGGUGGGGUAGUGGCUUACCAAGGCUUUGACGGGUAGCCGGCCUGAGAGGGUGACCGGCCACAUUGGGACUGAGAUACGGCCCAGACUCCUACGGGAGGCAGCAGUGGGGAAUAUUGCACAAUGGGCGGAAGCCUGGUGCAGCAACGCCGCGUGCGGGAUGACGGCCUUCGGGUUGUAAACCGCUUUCGCCUGUGACGAAGCGUGAGUGACGGUAAUGGGUAAAGAAGCACCGGCUAACUACGUGCCAGCAGCCGCGGUGAUACGUAGGGUGCGAGCGUUGUCCGGAUUUAUUGGGCGUAAAGGGCUCGUAGGUGGUUGAUCGCGUCGGAAGUGUAAUCUUGGGGCUUAACCCUGAGCGUGCUUUCGAUACGGGUUGACUUGAGGAAGGUAGGGGAGAAUGGAAUUCCUGGUGGAGCGGUGGAAUGCGCAGAUAUCAGGAGGAACACCAGUGGCGAAGGCGGUUCUCUGGGCCUUUCCUGACGCUGAGGAGCGAAAGCGUGGGGAGCGAACAGGCUUAGAUACCCUGGUAGUCCACGCUGUAAACGGUGGGUACUAGGUGUGGGGUCCAUUCCACGGGUUCCGUGCCGUAGCUAACGCUUUAAGUACCCCGCCUGGGGAGUACGGCCGCAAGGCUAAAACUCAAAGGAAUUGACGGGGCCCCGCACAAGCGGCGGAGCAUGCGGAUUAAUUCGAUGCAACGCGUAGAACCUUACCUGGGUUUGACAUGGAUCGGGAGCGCUCAGAGAUGGGUGUGCCUCUUUUGGGGUCGGUUCACAGGUGGUGCAUGGCUGUCGUCAGCUCGUGUCGUGAGAUGUUGGGUUAAGUCCCGCAACGAGCGCAACCCUUGUUCACUGUUGCCAGCACGUUAUGGUGGGGACUCAGUGGAGACCGCCGGGGUCAACUCGGAGGAAGGUGGGGAUGACGUCAAGUCAUCAAGCCCCUUAUGUCCAGGGCUUCACGCAUGCUACAAUGGCUGGUACAGAGAGUGGCGAGCCUGUGAGGGUGAGCGAAUCUCGGAAAGCCGGUCUCAGUUCGGAUUGGGGUCUGCAACUCGACCUCAUGAAGUCGGAGUCGCUAGUAAUCGCAGAUCAGCAACGCUGCGGUGAAUACGUUCCCGGG